rnacentral:tRNA from 1 species
UAAGAUUUGUAGGAAACUAAUCUACAUCUUCUGAAUGCAACCCAGACACUUUUACUAAGCUAAAACCUC